rnacentral:ncRNA from 1 species
AAAAAAGCGAAGAAAAGAAGAGUACUCUUUCAGCUUUAUUUUCAGAGAGAUCUUGGUUGGUGAGAAAGGUUAGUAAAAGAAAGAGGAACAUGAUCUUGGAGCUGGUCGUUUGAUAUGUAAAACGAUUUGGAUGCCCCCAUUAUCGGGCUAGGGAAUAUCGGUUCCCGACGAGGCAGAUUCGAUCUGCGAAUAUAGGUGGUAUCACGGCUUUCGUCCUAUGG